rnacentral:rRNA from 1 species
CCUACGGGAGGCUGCAGUGAGGAAUAUUGGUCAAUGGACGAGAGUCUGAACCAGCCAAGUAGCGUGAAGGAUGACUGCCCUAUGGGUUGUAAACUUCUUUUAUAUGGGAAUAAAAUGUUCCACGUGUGGGUUUUUGUAUGUACCAUAUGAAUAAGGAUCGGCUAACUCCGUGCCAGCAGCCGCGUUAAUACGGAGGAUCCGAGCGUUAUCCGGAUUUAUUGGGUUUAAAGGGAGCGUAGGUGGUUUGUUAAGUCAGUUGUGAAAGUUUGCGGCUCAACCGUAAAAUUGCAGUUGAUACUGGCAGUCUUGAGUACAGUAGAGGUGGGCGGAAUUCGUGGUGUAGCGGUGAAAUGCUUAGAUAUCACGAAGAACUCCGAUUGCGAAGGCAGCUCACUGAACUGCAACUGACACUGAGGCUCGAAAGUGUGGGUAUCAAACAGGACUAGAUACCCGUGUAGUC